rfam:Dictyocaulus viviparus strain HannoverDv2000 D_viviparus-1.0_Cont94.32, whole genome shotgun sequence.
GCCUUGGUAGUUUAAUGGAAAGCACGGCAGGCCGAAUAUCUGUAAGUGCGGGUACGAGUCCCGCCUAAGGUU